rnacentral:rRNA from 1 species
GGGCCCGCACAAGCGGUGGAGUAUGUGGUUUAAUUCGAUGCAACGCGAAGAACCUUACCAGGGUUUGACAUCCUGCGAAUCUCUUGGAAACAGGAGAGUGCCUUCGGGAACGCAGUGACAGGUGGUGCAUGGCUGUCGUCAGCUCGUGUCGUGAGAUGUUGGGUUAAGUCCCGCAACGAGCGCAACCCUCACUUUUAGUUGCCACCAUUUAGUUGGGCACUUUAAAGGGACUGCCAGUGAUAAGCUGGAGGAAGGCGGGGAUGACGUCAAGUCCUCAUGGCCCUUAUGUCCAGGGCUACACACGUGCUACAAUGGCAGGUACAGAGGGCUGCGAAACCGUGAGGUCGAGCGAAUCUCAUAAAGCCUGUCCCAGUUCGGAUUGGAGGCUGAAACUCGCCUCCAUGAAGUCGGAGUUGCUAGUAAUCGC